GACGAACGCUGGCGGCGUGCCUAAUACAUGCAAGUUGAGCGCUGAAGGUUGGUACUUGUACCAACUGGAUGAGCAGCGAACGGGUGAGUAACGCGUGGGGAAUCUGCCUUUGAGCGGGGGACAACAUUUGGAAACGAAUGCUAAUACCGCAUAAAAACUUUAAACACAAGUUUUAAGUUUGAAAGAUGCAAUUGCAUCACUCAAAGAUGAUCCCGCGUUGUAUUAGCUAGUUGGUGAGGUAAAGGCUCACCAAGGCGAUGAUACAUAGCCGACCUGAGAGGGUGGUCGGCCACAUUGGGACUGAGACACGGCCCAAACUCCUUCGGGAGGCAGCCGUAGGGAAUCUUCGGCAAUGGACGAAAGUCUGACCGAGCAACGCCGCGUGAGUGAAGAAGGUUUUCGGAUCGUAAAACUCUGUUGGUAGAGAAGAACGUUGGUGAGAGUGGAACGCUCAUCAAGUGACGGUAACUACCCAGAAAGGGACGGCUAACUACGUG
rnacentral:rRNA from 1 species